GUUAAGCGACUAAGCGUACACGGUGGAUGCCCUGGCAGUCAGAGGCGAUGAAGGACGUGCUAAUCUGCGAUAAGCGUCGGUAAGGUGAUAUGAACCGUUAUAACCGGCGAUUUCCGAAUGGGGAAACCCAGUGUGUUUCGACACACUAUCAUUAACUGAAUCCAUAGGUUAAUGAGGCGAACCGGGGGAACUGAAACAUCUAAGUACCCCGAGGAAAAGAAAUCAACCGAGAUUCCCCCAGUAGCGGCGAGCGAACGGGGAGCAGCCCAGAGCCUGAAUCAGUGUGUGUGUUAGUGGAAGCGUCUGGAAAGGCGCGCGAUACAGGGUGACAGCCCCGUACACAAAAAUGCACAUGCUGUGAGCUCGAUGAGUAGGGCGGGACACGUGGUAUCCUGUCUGAAUAUGGGGGGACCAUCCUCCAAGGCUAAAUACUCCUGACUGACCGAUAGUGAACCAGUACCGUGAGGGAAAGGCGAAAAGAACCCCGGCGAGGGGAGUGAAAAAGAACCUGAAACCGUGUACGUACAAGCAGUGGGAGCACGCUUAGGCGUGUGACUGCGUACCUUUUGUAUAAUGGGUCAGCGACUUAUAUUCUGUAGCAAGGUUAACCGAAUAGGGGAGCCGAAGGGAAACCGAGUCUUAACUGGGCGUUAAGUUGCAGGGUAUAGACCCGAAACCCGGUGAUCUAGCCAUGGGCAGGUUGAAGGUUGGGUAACACUAACUGGAGGACCGAACCGACUAAUGUUGAAAAAUUAGCGGAUGACUUGUGGCUGGGGGUGAAAGGCCAAUCAAACCGGGAGAUAGCUGGUUCUCCCCGAAAGCUAUUUAGGUAGCGCCUCGUGAAUUCAUCUCCGGGGGUAGAGCACUGUUUCGGCAAGGGGGUCAUCCCGACUUACCAACCCGAUGCAAACUGCGAAUACCGGAGAAUGUUAUCACGGGAGACACACGGCGGGUGCUAACGUCCGUCGUGAAGAGGGAAACAACCCAGACCGCCAGCUAAGGUCCCAAAGUCAUGGUUAAGUGGGAAACGAUGUGGGAAGGCCCAGACAGCCAGGAUGUUGGCUUAGAAGCAGCCAUCAUUUAAAGAAAGCGUAAUAGCUCACUGGUCGAGUCGGCCUGCGCGGAAGAUGUAACGGGGCUAAACCAUGCACCGAAGCUGCGGCAGCGACGCUUAUGCGUUGUUGGGUAGGGGAGCGUUCUGUAAGCCUGUGAAGGUGUGCUGUGAGGCAUGCUGGAGGUAUCAGAAGUGCGAAUGCUGACAUAAGUAACGAUAAAGCGGGUGAAAAGCCCGCUCGCCGGAAGACCAAGGGUUCCUGUCCAACGUUAAUCGGGGCAGGGUGAGUCGACCCCUAAGGCGAGGCCGAAAGGCGUAGUCGAUGGGAAACAGGUUAAUAUUCCUGUACUUGGUGUUACUGCGAAGGGGGGACGGAGAAGGCUAUGUUGGCCGGGCGACGGUUGUCCCGGUUUAAGCGUGUAGGCUGGUUUUCCAGGCAAAUCCGGAAAAUCAAGGCUGAGGCGUGAUGACGAGGCACUACGGUGCUGAAGCAACAAAUGCCCUGCUUCCAGGAAAAGCCUCUAAGCAUCAGGUAACAUCAAAUCGUACCCCAAACCGACACAGGUGGUCAGGUAGAGAAUACCAAGGCGCUUGAGAGAACUCGGGUGAAGGAACUAGGCAAAAUGGUGCCGUAACUUCGGGAGAAGGCACGCUGAUAUGUAGGUGAAGUCCCUCGCGGAUGGAGCUGAA
rnacentral:rRNA from 1 species